rnacentral:lncRNA from 1 species
UGAAACCAGUUCACGAGGGACGCUGAGCCAGGAGUCAACAAGCAGAAGGGAGGCAGGCACCCCACCUUUCAAUGAACAGCCAGAGCAUUCUGUGCCAACCGUCCUCUUAACUGAAGGCAGCUCCAGAAAAUUGGAGAGGGGUUCCAAGCCCACCCGUGCACCUGGCUUCUGCAGGAGACCCCACCAGCCGCUGAGCCGCGGAGCACCGUGGGGCCCCUCCUUUCGGAGCGCUCCCCCCUUUCAGACUCACAGAGGUGACGCUGUGGUAGUGCGAUGAGCUACGACUGCGGCGGCCACAGCUGAGGGGACCAGGACCGUUGAUCGGAAGCACGCUGUCGAUCUUAGCUCCGCUCAGAGGCGCGCUCCAAAGUGCAUCUGGAAGAUGCUAGCCGGUCCCUGCAGGUAGGCCCAGCGCCUGGGGGGCCCGGGCGGCGGCCACAGCGCACAGCUCUGGGGCGUGUGGGGUUGUCAUCCUUCCCAUCCUCCUCCAC